AUAAACUGGAGGAAGGUGGGGAAUGACGUCAAAUCAUCAUGCCCCUUAUGACCUGGGCUACAAACGUGAUACAAUGGCUGAAACAAAGGGCAGCGAAGCAGUGAUGUGAAGCGAAACCCAAAAAAGCAGUCUCAGUUCGGAUUGAAGUCUGCAACUCGACUUCAUGAAGUCGGAAUCGCUAGUAAUCGCGAAUCAGAACGUCGCGGUGAAUACGUUCUCGGGUUU
rnacentral:rRNA from 1 species